rnacentral:rRNA from 1 species
CAGAGGGGGCAAGCGUUAUUCGGAAUUAUUGGGCGUAAAGGCGCGUAGGCGGCUUUUCAAGUGACGGGUGAAAUCCCUCGGCUUAACCGAGGAACUGCCUGUCAGACUGGAAGGCUUGAGACCGGGAGAGGUGAGUGGAAUUCCCAGUGUAGCGGUGAAAUGCGUAGAUAUUGGGAGGAACACCAGUGGCGAAGGCGGCUCACUGGACCGGAACUGACGCUGAGGCGCGAAAGCGUGGGGAGCAAACAGGAUUAGAUACCCUGGUAGUCCACGCCGUAAACGAUGAGUGCUUGGUGUAGCGGGUAUCGACCCCUGCUGUGCCGAAGUCAACACAUUAAGCACUCCGCCUGGGGGAGUACGGUCGCAAGACUG